rnacentral:rRNA from 1 species
CCUACGGGUGGCAGCAGUGAGGAAUAUUGGUCAAUGGACGAGAGUCUGAACCAGCCAAGUAGCGUGAAGGAUGACUGCCCUAUGGGUUGUAAACUUCUUUUAUAUGGGAAUAAAACGUUCCACGUGUGGGAUUUUGUAUGUACCAUAUGAAUAAGGAUCGGCUAACUCCGUGCCAGCAGCCGCGGUAAUACGGAGGAUCCGAGCGUUAUCCGGAUUUAUUGGGUUUAAAGGGAGCGUAGGUGGAUUGUUAAGUCAGUUGUGAAAGUUUGCGGCGCAACCGUAAAAUUGCAGUUGAAACUGGCAGUCUUGAGUACAGUAGAGGUGGGCGGAAUUCGUGGUGUAGCGGUGAAAUGCUUAGAUAUCACGAAGAACUCCGAUUGCGAAGGCAGUUCACUGGACUGCAACUGACACUGAGGCUCGAAAGUGUGGGUAUCAAACAGGAUUAGAUACCCCAGUAGUC